CCAGUUGGCGGCGCGCACUCCAGGUGGCGGCCGGCUGCGGCGAGGGGACCGCCAGUGGCGAGCAGUCUCGGCGGCGCUGGGGUCUGCGGCGGGAGGGCGUCUGGGCCUGCGCUCACGUGACGGGCGGGGAGGGCCGCGGCCAGAGGGCUAGAGUCCGCGCCUUCCGAGGGAGCCGCGCCCUGCGGGCCCCACCGUACCCGAGGGGAUGGAGGGCUGCCCCCGAGGCCCCCGCGCGGCUCGCGGUCCCACGCCUGCCGGCCCGCGCUAGCUACUCGACUCGUGCGCUAAAUUUAUCCGUCACCCAGGCCUUGUCUCCCGAGUCAUUGGCGUCGUGGUUCGAAAGAAAUGGAAGAAAAGGAGCGAUGUGACCGAUUGUGUUCGGUCCUCCUGCUUUGAGGCCUGGCAUUUGCAGAGGGAAACAGCAAGAAAAUCGUGGGGAUUUUGGAGGGGGGUGGGAGGGAAGGGUGG
rnacentral:sRNA from 1 species